GGGCAGGCUUGUAGUAGUGGGUUGGUCCUUGUUUUUAGGACAAACCGAAGAAUAUUGAACCAUAUCCUUGUUUCUAGGCCAACCCGAGGUGGAUUGUCCCCUUUUCUUGAAUGACGACCUCUCUUUAAGUUCCUUUCAAUCUCAAGAGCCUCUUGGAAAAUGCCUUCAACGGUAUCAAACUUGUGAAGUGUUAAAUGAGUAAAGAUCUCUUUGUUCAAC
rnacentral:lncRNA from 1 species